UGAAAUAUUAAAAGCAAUAAAAUAUAUGUUUGCUAAGAUUACAAACGGACUGUCAAAAAAUGUUGGGUACCAGUAAUGACGCACUGUAAACAAACCAGUAAAAUACACUUGCUCGUACCUGAUAAUGGAAAAAUUGCUUCAAUCUGGAUUCUUUAAAGUUAACACUGUUCAACAAAUUCUAUUUUAUUUACAACUUUUUAAAUUUUCAUACACUUUAAUGAUCAUGGGGCAAAUAGAAC
rnacentral:lncRNA from 1 species